rnacentral:rRNA from 1 species
GACGAACGCUGGCGGCGUGCUUAACACAUGCAAGUCGAACGGUGAAGCCCUUCGGGGUGGAUCAGUGGCGAACGGGUGAGUAACACGUGAGCAACCUGCCCCUGGCUCUGGGACAACCACUGGAAACGGUGGCUAAUACCGGAUACGACCCGCUCAGGCAUCUGAUGUGGGUGGAAAGUUUUUCGGCUGGGGAUGGGCUCGCGGCCUAUCAGCUUGUGGGUGGGGUGAUGGCCUACCAAGGCGACGACGGGUAGCCGGCCUGGGAGGGCGAGCCGACACACUGGGACUGAGACACCGCCCAGACUCCUACAGGAGGCAGCAGUGGGGAAUAUUGCACGAUGGGCGAAAGCCUGAUGCAGCGACGCCGCGUGAGGGAUGACGGCCUUCGGGUUGUAAACCUCUUUCAGCUCCGAAGAAGCGCAAGUGACGGUAGGAGCAGAAGAAGCACCGGCUAACUACGUGCCAGCCGCCGCGGUAACAC